GCAUUUAGUUGGGCACUCUAAUGAGACUGCCGGUGAUAAACCGGAGGAAGGUGGGGACGACGUCAGAUCAUCAUGCCCCUUAUGACCUGGGCAACACACGUGCUACAAUGGGAAGUACAACGAGUCGCAAACCGGCGACGGUAAGCUAAUCUCUUAAAACUUCUCUCAGUUCGGACUGGAGUCUGCAACUCGACUCCACGAAGGCGGAAUCGCUAGUAAUCGCGAAUCAGCAUGUCGCGGUGAAUACGUUCCCGGGUCUUGUACACACCGCCCGUCAAAUCAUGGGAGUCGGAAGUACCCAAAGUCGCUUGGCUAACUUUUAGAGGCCGGUGCCUAAGGUAAAAUCGAUGACUGGGAUUAAGUCGUAACAAGGU
rnacentral:rRNA from 1 species